CUACUUACCUGACAGGGAAGAUACCAUGAUCCUGAAGGUGGUUUCCCCAGGGUGAGGCUUAUCCAUUGCACUGACCCCUGUGCUGACUCUGUGCAGGAUGUGCUGACCCCUGUGAUUUCCUCAAAAGUGGGAAACUCGACUGUAUAAUUUGCGAUAGUGAGGGACUGCAUUUGUGCUCUCCCCUG
rnacentral:snRNA from 1 species